UAUGGCCACAUCACAUUGAAACACCGGUUUCCGUAUGAUCACCGCAGUUAAGCAACGUCAAACAUGGUCAGUACCUAGAUGGGAGACCGCUAGGGAAUACCAGGUGCUGUAGG
rnacentral:rRNA from 1 species